UACGGGGGGGGCAAGCGUUGUUCGGAAUUACUGGGCGUAAAGGGCGCGUAGGCGGCAUGGCAAGUCAGGAGUGAAAGGCCUGGGCUCAACCGAGGAACUGCUUUUGAUACUGCCAAGCUAGAGUGCGGAAGGGGCAACUGGAAUUCCCAGUGUAGCGGUGAAAUGCGUAGAUAUUGGGAAGAACACCUGAGGCGAAGGCGGGUUGCUGGGCCGACACUGACGCUGAGGCGCGAAAGCCAGGGGAGCAAACGGGG
rnacentral:rRNA from 1 species